rnacentral:rRNA from 1 species
GACGAACGCUGGCGGCGCGCCUAACACAUGCAAGUCGAACGAGAGAGAGGAAGCUUGCUUCCUUAAUCGAGUGGCGAACGGGUGAGUAACGCGUGAGGAACCUGCCUCAAAGAGGGGGACAACAGUUGGAAACGACUGCUAAUACCGCAUAAGCCCACAGCUCGGCAUCGAGCAGAGGGAAAAGGAGUGAUCCGCUAUGAGAUGGACUCGCGGCGCAUUAGCUAGUUGGUGGGGUAACGGCCUACCAAGGCGACGAUGCGUAGCCGACCUGAGAGGGUGAUCGGCCACAUUGGGACUGAAACACGGCCCAG